rnacentral:rRNA from 2 species
AUCGGGGUUGCGGACAGUGUCUGGUGGGUAGUUUGACUGGGGCGGUCUCCUCCCAAAGCGUAACGGAGGAGCACGAAGGUUAGCUAAUCCUGGUCGGACAUCAGGAGGUUAGUGCAAUGGCAUAAGCUAGCUUGACUGCGAGCGUGACGGCGCGAGCAGGUGCGAAAGCAGGUCAUAGUGAUCCGGUGGUUCUGAAUGGAAGGGCCAUCGCUCAACGGAUAAAAGGUACUCCGGGGAUAACAGGCUGAUACCGCCCAAGAGUUCAUAUCGACGGCGGUGUUUGGCACCUCGAUGUCGGCUCAUCACAUCCUGGGGCUGAAGUAGGUCCCAAGGGUAUGGCUGUUCGCCAUUUAAAGUGGUACGCGAGCUGGGUUUAGAACGUCGUGAGACAGUUCGGUCCCUAUCUGCCGUGGGCGCUGGAGAAUUGAGGGGGGCUGCUCCUAGUACGAGAGGACCGGAGUGGACGCAUCACUGGUGUUCGGGUUGUCAUGCCAAUGGCACUGCCCGGUAGCUAAAUGCGGAAGAGAUAAGUGCUGAAAGCAUCUAAGCACGAAACUUGCCCCGAGAUGAGUUCUCCCUGAGACUUUAAGUCUCCUGAAGGAACGUU